rnacentral:lncRNA from 1 species
UAUGAACUUAGUGAUAUUUUUUUCAGUUAUAAAAAAGUUAAAAUUAUAAAUUUCAUAUUAUGUUCUAAAUAAAGUAGAAAUGACAUUCUACAAAGUAGAAAACAAAAUCCACUUUUUUCAUUGAAUCUACAAUGUUUAGAAUAUGUGAUCUACGUAAAUAGGAGUAUUCUAAAAAUAUUUAGAAUACACAUUCCGCGCUUAACCUAUCGUUCUAAAAUCUUUAGAAAUUAAAAUCUACACAUUAAUAUAAAUCUAAAACACGUAGAAAUCGACUUCUACAGAUUUACUAUAAAUCUAAAAUAUGUAGAAAUCAAAAUCUAAACAUUACUAUAAUUCUAAAAAACUGUAGAAACCGAUUUCUACAUAUUAAUUGUAUUCUACAGAUAAGAAAUCAGUUCCUAAAAAUAUGGAAACAAAAUAUUUGGGAAUAUUCACUUUUAUAUUUUGAAAAAAAAAAUCGAUUUUUAAAAAAAAAUAAAAAAAAACAAAAAAAAACAAAAAAAACAAAAAAAAACGAAAAAGGAAUUAAAAAAUUCAAUUUUAAGGGCAUUACUGUCAUUUUGAAAAAAAUUAGUCUAAUAGGACAUAAAUUAGUAUAGAUUAAUAUAAAGAGACAUAGUUACCAUUUUUUUGCUCUAAAAAAACAAUUUUCCCAAAACUCAUUAACUUAUGACGAAAUCAAUGGUAAAAAACCUUUUUGUCAACACUCAACAACAUAUGUUAUCUGAACUCGUGUACUCAAUAUAGAACAUGUAUGUCUUGGAACAUGUGAGAUUGUGAAAACAUUAAAAGACUUUUUGCAUUUUUGAAAUUUCUUCAAAUAGACUGAACAACUGGUCAUUCCAC